UGAUGGAGUGACACAUUGUGGGGUAGCGUUGCUGAAAUGAAACACUGUGGGGUAGUGCUGAUGGAAUGACAC